GAUGAACGCUAGCUACAGGCUUAACACAUGCAAGUCGAGGGGUAACGAGAGGAAAGCUUGCUUUCCUUGUCGACGACCGGCGCACGGGUGAGUAACGCGUAUCCAACCUGCCCCCAACUAGGGAAUAACCUUGCGAAAGUAAGACUGAUACCCUAUAAUUUCCUCAGAUGUCAUCUGACGAGGAAUAAAGAUUUAUCGGUUGUGGAUGGGGAUGCGUCUGAUUAGCUUGUUGGCGGGGUAACGGCCCACCAAGGCAACGAUCAGUAGGGGUUUUGAGAGGAAGGUCCCCAACAUUGGAACUGAGACACGGUCCAAACUCCUACGGGAGGCAGCAGUGAGGAAUAUUGGUCAAUGGGCGGAAGCCUGAACCAGCCAAGUAGCGUGCAGGAUGACGGCCCUAUGGGUUGUAAACUGCUUUUAUACAGGAAUAAAGUUAGCCACGUGUGGUUAUUUGUAGGUACUGUAUGAAUAAGGACCGGCUAAUUCCGUGCCAGCCGCCGCAGUAA
rnacentral:rRNA from 1 species